GAAGCAAGAAUUAUGGAACUGAAGGAUACAGCAGCAAGUGGUGCCAAUGGGGCAUUGAGAAUAUUCAUCACACUCGGUAGGUGGCUUGACUGGAGAUGGAGGAGAUGGAGUGGGUUUAGGAGGAUUUGCGCCUGUCUUUACUGGAUAUGAAGGCUCUAUGGCUAAACCACACAAGCCACUAGACCUGGCAACGUUACGUUGGACUCUGAGGUAGCCAUUCUCUCCCCAUUUAGCUCCCCAUGAGUUCCUAACGAUCCAAUAAUCCAUGCCAUUCUCAGAACCAUAUCCAGCAGCAACUACACCAUGAUCC